rnacentral:rRNA from 1 species
CCUACGAGAGGCAGCAGUGAGGAAUAUUGGUCAAUGGACGAGAGUCUGAUCCAGCCAAGUAGCGUGAAGGAUGACUGCCCUAUGGGUUGUAAACUUCUUUUAUAUGGGAAUAAAAUGUUCCACGUGUGGGAUUUUGUAUGUACCAUAUGAAUAAGGAUCGGCUAACUCCGUGCCAGCAGCACAGGUACUACGGUGGGUCCGAGCGUUAUCCGGAUUUAUUGGGUGUAAAGGGAGCGUAGGUGGAUUGUUAAGUCAGUUGUGAAAGUUUGCGGCUCAACCGUAAAAUUGAAGUUGAAACUGGCAGUCUUGAGUACAGUAGAGGUGGGCGGAAUUCGUGGUGUAGCGGUGAAAUGCGUAGAUAUCACGAAGAACUCCGAUUGCGAAGGCAGCUCACUGGACUGCAACUGACACUGAGGCUCGAAAGUGUGGGUAUCAAACAGGAUUAGAUACCCCUGUAGUC